rnacentral:rRNA from 1 species
AUUGAACGCUGGCGGCAGGCCUAACACAUGCAAGUCGAACGAGUGGCGGACGGGUGAGUAAUGUCUGGGAAACUGCCCGAUGGAGGGGGAUAACGACGGGAAACUGUAGCUAAUACCGCAUACCAUCGGAUGUGCCCAGUUGGGAUUAGCUAGUAGGUGGGGUAACGGCUUACCUAGGCGACGAUCCCUAGCUGGUCUGAGAGGAUGACCAGCCACACUGGGACUGUGACACGGUCCAGACUCCUACGGGAGGCAGCAGUGGGGAAUAUUGCACAAUGGGGGCAACCCUGACGCAGCCAUGCCGCGUGGAUGAAGAAGGCCUUCGGGUUGUAAAGUACUUUCAGCGAGGAGGCGUUACUCGCAGAAGAAGCACCGGCUAACUCCGUGCCAGCAGCCGCGGUAAUUC